GCAGCCCUAGUCGAGAAUGGGGCGGCCUACGUUGCGGCUGCGGCCACGGAACUCGGCGAUCGGGUCGCCGGGGGUGCC
rnacentral:tRNA from 1 species